AUGCUCUGCAGCAGGCCGGCAAGGUGGCAAAGAGAAGUCCCAUCUGCUGACCAGCUGUGCAUCAGAAAUGAAGCAGUAUCUGAAAGAAAGAGUGGAGUUGCCGACCACCUCACCCUACCGGGACUCCUGUGCCUUUGCAGUUUGCACG